rnacentral:misc_RNA from 1 species
CAAAAACAAAUGAACAUCAUGCAGUUUCAUAGGUGUAGAUGACAUUUGAAAAAUGUAUUGUAUGUUAGGAGAUUUUAAGUAUCGCUUUCUCACGUUGUCAUCAUGAAUGAUCCAUUUGAAGAAGAUAUUUCUUGGGACUUUUUUGUGCAACAUUAUUAUUGGGUUUUGGUUCUUGUAGUAGUACUUAUAUUCAUUAUGGUUUGUAUACUGGUGUGGUAUAUAAGGCGAUGCAGGAGAGAGCCUAGGUAUGAAUAUACAGCACUGGCAGAUGAGUCAUUUUUGCAAGAUCGUUUGGAGAUGGAUCGAAAAUUACAGAGAGAUUCAGAUCGAAAUAUGUCAACUAUACGUUGCCAGUAUUAUUUACGAGGAUCUAAUCGUUAUGUUUUUCUUCAGCAUUUACCAGAUAUGGGUAGCAGGCUUGACAAAAACUGGUUUCUUGUACGAGAUAACACUACAAAAACAGAACGUUUGUUGACAAUGACUCCUGUUGCUGAAAACUGUCCAAUCAAAUAUAAUGCUGAAACCAGAGAAAUUUUAUUAGAUUUGUUUUUAGCUUUGCAACAUCCAUAUAUUUAUCCUGUGUUGGAUAUUGAUAGGAAAAUUGUCAUGGAGCAGGAAUAUGUUAUUGCUGUUUUACCUUUCAAUGAGGAAGGAACCUUAAAAGAUGUUAUAUAUCGCAGUCAUUGCCAAGAUGACUGGAAAGAAAAAUAUCAUUAUCAUGGCUAUGGUUCAGAAUCUGCUCAGAUUCAAAGAUUGGGUUGUCAGGUUUUAGAAGCUUUGUUAUUUUUAAAGGAUCAAAGAUUUCCACCAUUUUUACAUUUGCAUUCUGGAAAUAUAAUAGUUCAAAAUGGUGUAGCAAGGGUGUCAGGUCUAGAAAAUACUCUAUUUGGUUAUACACCUCGAUCACAUAUAGUAAUCCCUAAGCGGCUGCAUGACAAUAAAGACGCUGUUGAAGUUAUGUGCUUUGGUCACCUUUUAUUUGAAAUGGCCGCUGGUUAUGAACUUACUUCUUCACAUCCAUCUGAAAAAAAUUAUAAAGAUGUAGAAAAUAAACCAUUAGUCAGUGAUGUUUUAAAGUUUAUUUUUGAGCAGGGUCGUUAUCGUUUCCCCACUUUACAGCAAAUUGCAAGUCUUGACUUUUUCCGCCAUAUUGAUUUAAGGGAAUUGCGCUCCCUAAUGCCAGUGCCAUCAAUAAAAGCAAAACUGAGUUCAGCAGCUCGGGCUGUCUUGAAGGAAGUAAAAAGGCAUCAAAGAUCUAGAAGCAUACUGGCCAUAGACGCAGUAAACGGCCCCAAUCAAUGCCUGCUUUAGAAACAGAAUCAUUACUUGACUAUAGAGAUAGCCCUAGUUCUGGGAAUAGCAGCAGAGCUUCAAAGAGAAAAAAGAAACAUUCUGCCACUUCCUCAGAAUCCAGCAAGACAGAACUGCAUGGUGAUACUCUCUUGAAAACUAUGCCAUUUUCUGAAAAUGAAGGCUCUGCUUUUCAUACUCAUCCAUCAACA